rnacentral:rRNA from 1 species
UACGGGGGGGUAAGCGUUGUUCGGAAUUACUGGGCGUAAAGGGCUCGUAGGCGGUCUGUCACGUCGGGAGUGAAAACUCAGGGCUUAACCCUGAGCCUGCUUCCGAUACGGGCAGACUAGAGGUAUGCAGGGGAGAACGGAAUUCCUGGUGUAGCGGUGAAAUGCGCAGAUAUCAGGAGGAACACCGGUGGCGAAGGCGGUUCUCUGGGCAUUACCUGACGCUGAGGAGCGAAAGUGUGGGGAGCGAACAGG